ACAAGCGGUGGAGCAUGUUGGUUUAAUUCGAAGCAACGCGAAGACCUUACCAGGUCUUGACAUCCCGAUGCUUAUUUCUAGAGAUAGAAAGUUACUUCGGUACAUCGGUGACAGGUGGUGCAUGGUUGUCGUCAGCUCGUGUCGUGAGAUGUUGGGUUAAGUCCCGCAACGAGCGCAACCCCUAUUGUUAGUUGCCAUCAUUCAGUUGGGCACUCUAGCGAGACUGCCGGUAAUAAACCGGAGGAAGUGGGGAUGACGUCAAAUCAUCAUGCCCCUUAUGACCUGGGCUACACACGUGCUACAAUGGUUGGUACAACGAGUUGCGAGUCGGUGACGGCGAGCUAAUCUCUUAAAGCCAAUCUCAGUUCGGAUUGUAGGCUGCAACUCGCCUACAUGAAGUCGGAAUCGCUAGUAAUCGCGGAUCAGCACGCCGCGGUGAAUACGUUCCCGGGCCUU
rnacentral:rRNA from 1 species